UGCGUAGGCGGGCUAAUAAGUCAGUGGUGAAAUCUCUCGGCUCAACCGGGAAACUGCCAUUGAUACUGUUAGUCUUGAGUUCGGUUGAGGUAGGCGGAAUGUGUAAUGUAGCGGUGAAAUGCUUAGAUAUUACACAGAACACCAAUUGCGUAGGCAGCUUACUAGACCGACACUGACGCUGAGGCACGAAAGCGUGGGGAGCGAACAGGAUUAGAUACCCCGGUAGUC
rnacentral:rRNA from 1 species